UUAGGGCUAGCUAGCUACAGACCAUCUAUAUUCUGAGUAUUAUCUCACAUUCUCACUCCCACUGCUGUUUCAAGUUUUCAACACUUCGACAAAAACUCUCCUUUUCUUCGAGCCAGCACCUAAACUCUCCCUCUUUAGAAUUUUCUUCGAGCCAAACAGCCAUCACUCACCCAAUACUGAAAUCAGUCUAUUUGAAUCCCCAAUACUAAAAGGGAAAUCUUCGAUUGGGAAUCCGGGUCUUCAAUUUGGAUUAGUAGGUUAGGGUUCUUCAAUUGGAAACCCGAUUAAGUCACUCUCUCUUUCUCGCUCGUAUUCUCCUGCGCGACACCAACACCUUGUCUUCUUCUCUAUAACAAGCAUUGUUUCUCACCUCCUCUCUCACCUUCUUCACCUCUACAACUACCAUGGCGGAGAGAGAAAGCACACAUAUGAUCAAGAAUUCGAGGAGAGAGAAAACAGAUCUGGGAUUUCUUUCUCCUCCAUUGCUAACGAUGCUGGGUAUGGGUAGAGUUCCUGGUAGUGGAACCUCUCUUUUCGAUCACCGAGUUCUCUCUUGGCCUCACUGUAAUCUCUCUUUUCGAUCUGUUCAUUUUCAAAUCUUCAAAUUUGUUGGUUAUUCUCUAGUUUAAAGAAGGUUAUUAGCGGCAGUGGCAGUGGAAAAAUGCCACCGCCUGCGUCGUCUCCCGGUUCGCCACCGUCACCGUCGUCGAUGUUGUGUGCACCAGGUUUCAUUGAGGGUCUUCUUCAAGUGAAAGAGACUUUGCAGAAAGAUUUGUGGAGAGAACCAAAUAAGGGUGAACUAGCUGAGGCAACAAGUAUGAGUGGUUUAAGUGAAAAAAACACUUGGACGAUUAAACCUGUAAAUGAUAUAUUAGAUUGGCUUUCGGCUAAUUUUGGGUUUCAGCUAUACUCUAUCGGAUCCAGAUUCCAAGGCAUAUUUUGACUUAUUAAUUAAGGAAUGCUAUCAAGGCGUGACUAUACUUCAUGUUUCUUUCCUUUUAUUGGAACUGUAUGUUGGUGUAUCCAGAAGGGAAAAUGAGCUAGCAUUUUGCAAGCUUAAAACCAUGAGAUGCAGUUGAAGUGAAGGGGUAACCUAUAUUUACUAGUGACAAUGAUAGGUAGAGGUUACACUCUGAGUUGUCUUAUAAUGAGGUGUAUCUUUUCUUAAUGACCCAUUGAAAAGCUGAGAUAUGUUCCCAACAUGAAGAAGCAUAUUAGCAUGAUUGCAGGUGGUUCUUGUAUUACUUCAAUUCUUCAGGUCAUUGACGCUAUACUUCAAAAUCUUGUUGACACAACCAAGGGCCAGCGAUAAGUGUCAGAAGGAGAAGAGAAAGCAUGCACUUAUGCAGCAUUUUCAAAGGAGCAAGCUAGUGUGCUAGUGUUGCCCACUGCCACAUUUAUCAAUUCGUCCUGAGAAAUGUAUUAGUUUCAUCAUCAACUUUUGAUGUUCAAGUAGAUAGGGCAUGUACUAGGAUGCUUUUCUUAUUUUAAUGUUGGCUUGGAUGGUUGGGAAAUGCUCUCUUUUUACAUUUGACUUUUAAAGUAUGAGUUGGAUUACUCAAUUUGAUGGUUUUACAAUAUGGCUUCUUUCCAA